UACGAAGGGGGCUAGCGUUGUUCGGAAUUACUGGGCGUAAAGCGCGCGCAGGCGGUCUUCCAAGUCAGUGGUGAAAGCCCGGAGCUCAACUCCGGAACUGCCAUUGAAACUGUUAGACUUGAGGAUGAGAGAGGUGAGUGGAAUUCCCAGUGUAGAGGUGAAAUUCGUAGAUAUUGGGAAGAACACCAGUGGCGAAGGCGGCUUUCUGGUCAGUAACUGACGCUGAGGCGCGAAAGCGUGGGGAGCAAACAGG
rnacentral:rRNA from 1 species